rnacentral:rRNA from 1 species
UACGUAGGGUGCGAGCGUUAAUCGGAAUUACUGGGCGUAAAGUGUGCGCAGGCGGCAGAGCAAGUCGAGUGUGAAAGCCCCGGGCUUAACUUGGGAAUUGCGCUCGAAACUACUUUGCUGGAGUGUGGCAGAGGAAGGUGGAAUUCCACGUGUAGCGGCGAAAUGCGUAGAGAUGUGGAGGAACACCAAUGGCGAAGGCAGCCUUCUGGGCCAACACUGACGCUCAUGCACGAAAGCGUGGGGAGCAAACAGG